GACGAACGCUGGCGGCGUGCUUAACACAUGCAAGUCGAACGGUAAGGCCCUUCGGGGUACACGAGUGGCGAACGGGUGAGUAACACGUGGGUGAUCUGCCCUGCACUUCGGGAUAAGCCUGGGAAACUGGGUCUAAUACCGGAUAGGACCACUGCCUGCAUGGGUGGUGGUGGAAAGCUUUUGCGGUGUGGGAUGGGCCCGCGGCCUAUCAGCUUGUUGGAGGGGUGAUGGCCUACCAAGGCGACGACGGGUAGCCGGCCUGAGAGGGUGACCGGACAGACUGGGACGGAGAUCCGGCCACGACUCCGACGGGAGGAAGGAGGGGGGAGUAUUGCACAAUGGGGGCAAGACUGAUGCAGCGACGCCGCGUGAGGGAUGACGGCCUGCGGGUUGUAAACCUCUUUCAGCACCGACGAAGCGCAAGUGACGGUAGGUGCAGAAGAAAGACCGGCCAACUACGUGCCAGCAGCCGCCGUAACAC
rnacentral:rRNA from 1 species